rnacentral:lncRNA from 1 species
UAGACUGUAGCUAUUCUCCAUUACAUGUUACAAAUUAUGAAGACCUUAAACACUAAUUGCAUGAACCACAAGGAGUCAUGUCAACAAAUAAAAUAGCAAAAAUACAGCUACUAGUAGUUAACCUAAGAGUUGAAUUUGCAGUAAAAAGUGUGUAACAUGUGCUUAUGUUACAAGAAGUAUUAGGCACAAUUGAAUCCUAAUUAUAAUCCGUAAGUCUGCAUUUGGGUAUUUGUUCUUUCGGUCAUACAAAGCCUCACCUCAAAAGAAAGGAAAAUAAUAGUUAUACUGCUUUAAAGUUUUUCUACAAUAAGGCAAGGAAGAAGGUGAAUGAUCCUGCCCUAAGAUCAGCAAAAAAAUAAGCAAAAAGUGCACCUAAACAACAAUAAUUCAUCACAUUAGUGUUUAAUCAAGAGUUUUAACUACCACAUAAAUGUAGUCAUAAUAUAUCAAUGCACCUGGGUAUUAUAUUUAGAAAAUUAACAGAAUUCACGUGUUUAAGUAUAUGCAUAAGCUUUCAUGGUAUACGGUACAUUACUGAAAUGAGUAUCCAAAGUGUUCUUAAAUCAUAUCACAACAGUUCUUCUCAGCCUACAAUUAAGGUAUUUCUACAUUUAAGGUGAUUAUAUUAGGACUAUUAUGUAUAAACUAUGAAAACCUACAACUUCUUCAAUAAUAGUCUUUGAAGAAAUUCAAUAGAUUAAACAAAUAUAAAAAUUAGAUAGGUUCGCUCAUUGAUCAUUGGGGCUUCCUAAAAAGAUCUACUAAAUUCAUCGUGCUGUCAAGACAUUAUAUGUAAAAUCUUCUAGUAUUAACAAAUAUGAGUUCGUAGCAGACCUUGAAGUAUUUGAAGAAUGCAGUUGUAACAACAGUUCACAAAAGUAAAAUUAAGCAAGCAAUCCUUAGGAAACAGAAUAAGAAGAAAAGGCCUAAAACAGUUCUCUGGCCCUUUCUUUUCUCUUUAUUUUUCUUUAUACAUAAAAGUGUGGCAUUUCAAAAUUUAAUUGUAAGAAUUUUCCUUAAAAAAAUGUUCUUCUAAUGUCGUGGUAAUUGGGCAAUUCAAAAAACUCCCCUACAUCAGAUUUUGACAGAAACCUAAUAAACCAAAGCCAAAUCAAGUUAAAGAUGAACUGAUGGCGAACACCAGAUAUGCUGAAAUAGAUCUGAUCAGAAUAUAAAUCUGGAAUAACUAGGACAACAUUAUCAAGUUAUUAUACCAACUUGGUGGCAUCUAGAUAACUAUUCUUUAAUUAUGAUUUUCAAGUGAUGGUUGUCAACAAAAUGCUCACAAUUCCGUGUUUCACUUGAAACAUAAUACAAAAAUUACCUUAAAAUUAAGUUAGUGAUUUCUUUCCAGAACACUACUUCUCCAGAAACCAAAUUAAAAGUGUAUACAUAGCUUGUUUAGUGACUGCCCUGCUACCUAUAUUUUUGACAGCUCCAACUUAAGCUAUCUUAAUGUCCUGCAAAGGUUUCUAAUUACGCCACCUCCUACUUGGCUUUGUGAAUCAGCUAUAACCCACUCAAAGUAACCCAUUAUCUUGUAUUUCUUAGAAUAAUAUUAUCAUUUAUUAUAUUUUUUUUAGUAUACCAUUACUUACUUACAAAUACAUUACAUAAUUACAAUAUAUAUAUUAUACCUUUUCCACACAUAAUGUAUAUCAUUUAAUAACCAAUACAUAUAUAAACAAUUAUUAUACUUCACUAAUUUUACACUAAUUGCAUUAUUUAAUUUUCAGUUAAGUAAUUAAAUUAGUCUACAGUUAAGUUAGUUUUUGUAUAUGAAAACUCCACAACUUAUUGUAACUUAGUAUUACAUCUAAUAGAAUGAAGACAAAAAUCAGUGGCCUGGGAAUCAUUAAAGAUAAAAGAAAACACACACAACACAGGAAAAGAACUGUAUAGCUGACAAAGAGGUUACCUAAACCAUUUUACAAGUCAAAAGAAACUACUAAAUAGUAAAUACACAUCGUAUCCAUCCAUAGACUGCUAACCUAAUUCAGUAACUAUUAGGAACAUACUAUUUUACCACAACCCCUUAUUUAUAUUAUGUUUCCAUGUUAUACUUACCAGCUUUUGGCCAAUUAUGUGUGUAAUUACAUUAAGGUCAGCCUAACCAAUUCAUGUUUGAAAAAGCAAAUGAAAGAUUCAGUUUUAAGCAUCUGAUCUGGAAUGGAUUAAGAGUAAAAACAAUGUACAAAAUACAUAAAAGCUUGCUCUUUAAAAGCUUCCUUAGGAUAUGAAUUCAAAACCUCAAAAAUAUACACUUAGUAUGAUUUUCAGUUGACUAGUUUUCAAGAAAAAUCCUUGAAACAAUUUUAAAUUCCUUUCCAAACAUCCAAACCACUUAAGUUAGCCUAUAACUCAUAUAUGCACAUGAAACAUCAACAAUAAACCAUGAAUUUUCAUGUUUUAAUCAAACUAACCUCUUAGAGUCGUUUUUACAAACACCUAACAUGCAUAUCUUUAAAACUUAGUUUUCAUUUGAAUUCUAACAUAUUAACAUUCAAUCCCCAACCACACCAUCCUUAUACCUUCGGAAUCCUUCGUGAUCCCCCAUUCACAACCAACUCUCACAACAAUAAUACAACCAUAAUACAUAUUAUAUAUUACAAUUCUCUAAAUUUAUCAAGGAGUGGAAUAUCCUUUGUUAUGUGUUUAAAUUGACUGAAUACUUACCUUACUUUGCUUAACAAUUGAGUUGAAUCCCUCCCUAGAUACUCUUUUGCUCUAAAUCUUCUUCAAUCCCUUCUUAGGAUAUCAAUUGCUAGCUAUCUGUUAUGGGUUUUGGUGAAGGUACCUUGUCCAAGGCUUAAGAGAGAGAGUUUGAGCUAGGUUUCUUAGAAGCAAUUGAGUUGAACACUUGCGGGCUUCGGGGAGGAAGUGAACUGAUAUUGUUAGUAGCUUAUUCAUUGAGAAAUGCUAGGUGUCUCCUCCUAG